UCUCGUUCCGAGGGGAGCUCCGACGAGGAGCUGAGAUACCGCAAACGCGCUUUCCUGGUGUCCAAAAGGAUAUUCGAAAAGCAAGACCGCGGUGACCCUUUGAACCUGAUCCGGGUUAUGCCGGCGAAGGGACAGGGAUGUACCAGACCA
rnacentral:ncRNA from 1 species